rnacentral:rRNA from 1 species
CAAUAGCGUAUAUUAAAGUUGUUGCGGUUAAAAAGCUCGUAGUUGGAUUUCUGCCGAGGACGACCGGUCCGCCCUCUGGGUGUGUAUCUGGUUUGGCCUGGGCAUCUUCUUGGAGAACGUAGCUGCACUUGACUGUGUGGUGCGGUGUCCAGGACUUUUACUUUGAGGAAAUUAGAGUGUUUCAAGCAGGCACACGCCUUGAAUACAUUAGCAUGGAAUAAUAAGAUAGGACCUCGGUUCUAUUUUGUUGGUUUCUAGAGCUGAGGUAAUGAUUAAUAGGGAUAGUUGGGGGCAUUCGUAUUUAACUGUCAGAGGUAAAAUUCUUGGAUUUGUUAAAGACGGACUACUGCGAAAGCAUUUGCCAAGGAUGUUUUCAUUGA